UUGGCUCGACUCGGCCGAGGUGCCCAGUCCUCCUUUUUCCAUUGCAGAUUAGUUAGUUAGAGUAGUACCGCCUCAUGCGUGGGGCGAGCAUGACUGGUUGUCAUAGCAGGAAACUGUAGUGACCUAACGCGACACACAGAACGUGGAAGGUGUGUUCCUUUUGACUCUCGGCCUGUGGCUGUUGUCAGAAGACACAUUUAGUGACGUUGGGUUAGCAUUGCUAGCGUUAGCUAACUCCUUCACCACUAACGGAGCAACCCGGAACAUCAAACUUUUCCCGAACCCUGUGGGGGGGAGGACCACAACAUCACGGCCACCAUCAAAACUCAGCAAAGAUUGUUCUUCUCGGGCUUUAACUUCUUGAUGUUCUGCAGCGUUGCCACAGCGAACCAGAUGGCUUCGCUCGCAUCUUUCUCCGCCGCCAUGAUGGCUGGCGCACAACCUCAACGUCAUCGUUCUCAGCCACUCCCUCCGUUCGCUGACUGGACCGGUAAAGAUUGGCCGGAGAAAACCCAAGAAUAUCCCUCCAACCCAGACGGAGUACUGAAGGAAAAUGAAAAUUGAGCGGAGAGACUGAAGAAGGUGGAAGAAAGAGAGAGAGGAAGAGCUAUCCUGCCAAAGAGCCUGGAGUGAAAACACUCUGGUUGUGGGAACAGUCUACACAACAAGCCCGACAGAAACCAACACCGACCCAACAGACACCAUCUCAACUUGCAGCUGGUUGGAGGCUUGCUGCCUGUUGAUGGUGUCACACUAAUCUCCUGCUGUUGCUAUGGAAUCAGGAUACCUUAGCGACCGCGUUCAAACCUGAGAACCCACCCAUCUGGCCGUCUCAAGACUUCUGAGGCGGGAUGUUAAACUGAAAGUGAUACGUCGAGGUCAGCUGCUGUACUUCUGGAGAGCCGCUGUGUGUCUGGAUCAGAUUCCAGAU